rnacentral:ncRNA from 2 species
GUAAAUUCUCAGGGCGGGGUGAAACUCCCCACCGGCGGUGAUAGCGCUUAAAUUAACCUAAGCCUUAAGCCCGCGAGCGCCCAAAUCAACUUAACAUUGAAGAUGUAAGCUGAUUUGGGGUCAAGCAGAUCUGGUGAACUCUAUCUGAUACAUAUAUAGAACACUCCAGAGCCGACGGUAAUGAACCGUAUUACUCAGAUAACACACUAGUAGUACAGUACUAAGUCCGGAUGAAAGAGAAUAUAA